UACGUAGGGUGCGAGCGUUAAUCGGAAUUACUGGGCGUAAAGCGUGCGCAGGCGGUUUUGUAAGCCAGAUGUGAAAUCCCCGGGCUUAACCUGGGAAUGGCAUUUGGGACUGCAAGGCUGGAGUUUGGCAGAGGAGACUGGAAUUCCUGGUGUAGCAGUGAAAUGCGUAGAUAUCAGGAGGAACACCGAUGGCGAAGGCAGGUCUCUGG
rnacentral:rRNA from 1 species